GCUUGCUCCCUGAUGUUAGCGGCGGACGGGUGAGUAACACGUGGGUAACCUGCCUGUAAGACUGGGAUAACUCCGGGAAACCGGGGCUAAUACCGGAUGGUUGUUUGAACCGCAUGGUUCAGACAUAAAAGGUGGCUUCGGCUACCACUUACAGAUGGACCCGCGGCGCAUUAGCUAGUUGGUGAGGUAACGGCUCACCAAGGCGACGAUGCGUAGCCGACCUGAGAGGGUGAUCGGCCACACUGGGACUGAGACACGGCCCAGACUCCUACGGGAGGCAGCAGUAGGGAAUCUUCCGCAAUGGACGAAAGUCUGACGGAGCAACGCCGCGUGAGUGAUGAAGGUUUUCGGAUCGUAAAGCUCUGUUGUUAGGGAAGAACAAGUGCCGUUCAAAUAGGGCGGCACCUUGACGGUACCUAACCAGAAAGCCACGGCUAACUACGUGCCAGCAGCCGCGGUAAUACGUAGGUGGCAAGCGUUGUCCGGAAUUAUUGGGCGU
rnacentral:rRNA from 1 species